rnacentral:tRNA from 1 species
GCUCUCAUAGUGUAGCGGUUAUCACGUCUGCUUUACACGCAGAAGGUCCCAGGUUCGAACCCUGGUGGGAGCA